AAUAGAACCAAACCCUCUGAAGAAGUUGCCUGAUCCAGAACCUGCUUUGUCUUCCAAGGAAAAUUAAAGACCUCAAGAGAUCCCACAAAUCCUGUUGUUGAGCUGAGAGCCUUUCAAUCAUCAUGCCAUCAAGCCCAGGCUAGCCUGCUGGAGGAUGAGACCAUGUGGAGAGAGCACCCAGGUCCUCAGCCACCUUAGCUGAGGCCCCAGACAUGUAAGUGAUGGAGAACAUUUGGACCAGAAGACUUGGCUACCUAGUAGAACCCGGUCCAAAUUGAAAACCCAUAGAUUUGCUAGCUAAAUAAAGUAGUUGUUGUUUUAAGCCA